GUAACUCGGAGGCAGGUAGGAGCAACAUGUAAUCCAGUUGACAUAAAUGAAAAGAUGAUAUUGGCAGAAAAUUGGGCUGCGUGUGAAUAUAAAGGCUGUUGAAUAACAGGGAGUGGAAAAUGACAUGCUCAGCAGCAGCGAGGGAAAGAUGAAAGGAGUUCAGGAAACAUUUGUACGGGAGAAGCCAAGCACGAGUCAACAAAGGCUGGAAUUCUCUGCUCCUCAAAGCAGAACUGAGUGCUGCAGCUUCAGCCCUACCUGUGCUCAGGGCUGGCAAGUGGUAAAGUGUCAAAACAAUUCGAGUUUAUUCUCUGGUUGCUAAUGUGCCAGCUGAAGUGGAGGCUGAGAUGUUCAGCAAAACCAUUACUAAGCAAAAUGAGGCAUCAUCAUCCUCUGUAUCGCUGUCAGUAAUUCCAAGGUAAGGAUGAAAUGAAGGGCGAGCAGAGAGUGAUUGAGGGGAAAAUAAAGCCAAGGAGUGAGGAGACUGCAGCAUGUUGAUUGAAAAAAAGCCUUCUGUGUACUCUGAAGGGUCGUGCCAAGUAUGAGAAUUCAGGAGGAGGGGAGAAGUGAGCACCUGAGCUGGGCUUGCUGAGAUUCACUCCAGGUACGUGGUGGCAGAUGGAGCUCACAUCCUGAGAGAGGCUGAGAGGUGAAAGUCAUAAUGAACAGCCUUCACAAGGUAAAAGCAGAAGAAAUAUUAGAGCUGUUACAGGAGAGCAAGCAGGAGAUGUUCAGAUUUAUGAGUUCUUUUGGAGAGCAGCCAUGGUUUGUCUUUAUUUCCUAGUAACUGGUUCUUGAUUUGAGCUUUGUCAGGUCAUCAGAUUAGUGCCAUCAGCUCUGAAGGGUUUUCAGCCCUUCCUUUGGAUCAUCUAGCAGGCUCAAAAUGAACAUGUGGAGUGCAAGCAGGAUCUGCUUUUGGGGGAGCUGUCCUGAAAAGCAAAAGCAAUGGAAAAAAGUAAGGAGAGAGAGAGGAUUUUAUUAUGGCACCAUCUGUCUCCUCGCUGUUAAUAUUUCUUUCCCCUCUUUGCAGUGAUUCUGAAUAUUUAAGGAUGGAUGUUGGGUUUAAGGGUUUAAGGAGGGAUGUCUGAGGAGGGAAAGUUCCAGAAGGGACCAUGGCUGUGGCUGUCCCUUCACAGAGAGCAGGUCUGGCUGAAGGCCCCUGUGUGACAUCGAUCUUAAAAGUGACACACAGAGCGAGCCUUGGCUUGGAGGGGGGCCAGCGAGUGAAUUCUCAUUUCCUUGGUCCCAUUCUCUCCUUCCUUGCUUUGCUUCAUUUGAAGAUUGUGAUGAGGCACCAGACCUGUCUCAGGCAGUGUGCCUUUUGCACAGCACCUGCAACAGACCCCUACUGGAUGUUACAGCACCCUGGCAAGGGCUCUGCUCUCCUGUUUUUCAGCUGACCCAGGGAUUUCAAACAGCAGUUUCAUUUUUCCUCUUUUAAUUUAAUUGGAGAACGUAAAAGGAGCUUUUGACUUUUACUGGUGGAACCUGAGGAGGACUGAAGUGGUUUAAACUCGACAGACCUUAAUCGUGCAGGGCAGCCUUCUAAACUUUUGUUUACCUCCUGUGAGCUGCUGAAGAGAGGAGGGCAAAAAAGGGAAGAAAAGAAAAAAAAAAAAGAAAAAAAAGGCAGCUUUCAGUUACUGAACCCCCUCGUGGUAUUGAAUUCUAACCAAGUACAUCCAGCCCUGCCAGCCAGAAAUGCCAAAAGGAGGAAAGCUGCUGAAUCAGAGGAGAAUCAGGAUUGGGAGGAUGGUAGGGAAUAUGAGAGUAGCACUGGGCAAACAAAAUGGUGAGCACGCCUUGGGCUACGUUUUCAGCGUGUUUUCUUGGGAGAUCAAAGCUUAAAUCCCAUUAACCCUUCAAAUGUCAGCCUGGUGCUUCAAUGCCAUAAAUCAACAACAAAUGCCAUAAAUCUGAGGCAAAUGAAAGAA